UGAUCAUUCUACGGACAAAAUUCCACAAAGCUCGUUCAGUAGCCUGUCAGAAGAGGUACAAGAGAAGGGUGUGAGCUUUUCACUGAAGGUCGUUUUCACCCAUAUACCCUGGGGUGGAACUUGAACAGAGACAGCUGAAACAGAGUGACAGAAGCAUCCCAGAGAAGAGAUGGACAGAAUCACUUACCUACAGAAUGAAUGUGGAGCUAUCGCUGAGGCCUGAGAAAUUAGGAGCUGAAUCACUCUGGGCAUCCAUGGAUAAGGCAAGGAGGAGAGAAAGUCCUCUCACAGAGGAUAUCCAGUGAAGGGGAGACAGGCUGCUUGAACUGCAGGCAAGAGCAGCGGUUUGUGAAGAGAGCUGUUUUCAAAUGGACCCUACACCCGGAUUCCCAGCCUCACACCUGCUAACCAUGCACUUUACCUCAGGAACAUGCCCGCCCUCAGGGAACUUUCAGCUUGAGAUGGUCUGUUGACAGAAACACAAGGCAAACAAGAAAGAAGAAGAGGACAUUUCAUUUAAAUCACAAGAGGAGGUGGGAGAACAGAGCUAGCUACCACAAAACCUUGCAAAGAAAUUCUUCUUCAGCUGGUUUCCUCUUGGGUCCCAUCUGGCCUCCAGCCUUUGUUCGCCUCCCAGCAUCUCUCUGUGAACUCACUCCUCACUGGUGGCUGCCAGGGUUGCAGUUGGUAUUGAAGGUGGUACCCAGACAUGCUGAGCCCAUUGGAGAAGUUGCACAAGGCUGAGGAGGGAAGGUUCGUUCUAGCCUUCUCUGAAAUGGUGGAAGAGAAAAGAGUCUGAAAUCCCUGUCUUAUUUGUGGCUGAGACAGAAAGAACCACCAUGAAAACAACAGCUCCAAGGCCUGUCUCCUUCUCACCCCACAUACAUACUAAGACAAACGACCACAUGUCUCAGAGCCCUCCAACCUCGAGACCAGUGGGAAAGGGCCUGGAGUGCCAAGUGACCUUGAAAUUCAUGGGUUGGCAAAGGUCUUUCAGCCAUGCCACUGACACAGGCUGUCAGGGCCAGGUUUUCCCUGCUUGCUGUGCUGAAGGAAGAGGGUGGAGGGUGACUGAGAAGAGAGUUUGCUUCUCUGAGAUCAAGGCUGGCUGGCUGUCCUCUCCCCUCACUACCGUCCUCUUGACUUGCUUUGCAGGGAUGCUCGGUCGAUCACAGCCCCUUCUCAUUAAAGUAAAUAGUGCUUUCCUGA